UACGUAGGGUGCAAGCGUUAAUCGGGAUUACUGGGCGUAAAGCGUGCGCAGGCGGUGAUGUAAGACAGUUGUGAAAUCCCCGGGCUCAACCUGGGAACUGCAUCUGUGACUGCAUUGCUGGAGUGCGGCAGAGGGGGAUGGAAUUCCGCGUGUAGCAGUGAAAUGCGUAGAUAUGCGGAGGAACACCGAUGGCGAAGGCAAUCCCCUGGGCCUGCACUGACGCUCAUGCACGAAAGCGUGGGGAGCAAACAGG
rnacentral:rRNA from 1 species